UGGGCAACCUGCCCUUCUCAUCGGAAUAAGCGUUGGAAACGACGUCUAAUGCCGAAUACGACCUCCUUUCGCAUGAUCGGAGGUGGAAAGCUCCGGCGGAGAAGGAUGAGCUCGCGGCCUAUCAGCUUGUUGGUGUGGGUAACGCCCACCAAGGCGACGACGGGUAGCCGGCCUGAGAGGGUGACCGGCCACACUGGGACUGAGACACGGCCCAGACCUCCGUAACGGGAGGCAGNAGGUAGGG
rnacentral:rRNA from 1 species